GACAUUAGUUGGUAGGUGGAUGGAGGGGCGUAACCAGACAUUAGUUGGUAGGUGGAUGGAGGGGCGUAACCAGACAUUAGUUGGUAGGUGGGUGGAUGGAGGGGCGUAACCAGACAUUAGUUGGUAGGUGGAUGGAGGGGCGUAGCCAGA